ACUGAGUGGCAAACGGGUGAGUAUAAUGUGGGAAUCUGCCUUUUGGUCUGGAAUAACACGGGGAAACUUGUGCUAAUACCGGAUAAGCCCUUACGGGGAAAGUUUUAAUGCCGAAAGAUGAGCCUGCACUUGAUUAGCUAGUUGGUAAGGUAAAAGCUUACCAAGGCGACGAUCAAUAGCUGUUCUUAGAGGAAGACCAGCCACAUUGGGACUGAGACACGGCCCAGACUCCUACGGGAGGCAGCAGUGGGGAAUCUUGCACAAUGGGGGAAACCCUGAUGCAGCGAUGCCGCGUGAGUGAAGAAGGCCCUUGGGUUGUAAAACUCUUUCGUCGGGGAAGAAAAUGACUGUACCCGAAUAAGAAGGUCCGGCUAACUUCGUGCCAGCAGCCGCGGUAAUACGAAGGGACCUAGCGUAGUUCGGAAUUACUGGGCUUAAAGAGCUCGUAGGUGGUUAAAAAAGUUGAUGGUGAAAUCCCAAGGCUCAACCUUGGAACUGCCAUCAAAACUUUUUAGCUAGAGUGUGAUAGAGGUAAGUGGAAUUUCUAGUGUAGAGGUGAAAUUCGUAGAUAUUAGAAAGAACACCAAAUGCGAAGGCAACUUACUGGGUCACUACUGACACUGAGGAGCGAAAGCAUGGGUAGCGAAGAGGAUUAGAUACCCUCGUAGUCCAUGCCGUAACGAUGUGUGCUAGACGUUGGAAAUAUAUUUUUCAGUGUCGCAGCGAAAGCAUUAAGCACACCGCCUGGGGAGUACGACCGCAAGGUUAAAACUCAAAUGAAUUGACGGGGACCCGCACAA
rnacentral:rRNA from 1 species